rnacentral:rRNA from 1 species
ACACGUGAGUAAUCUGCCCUCCACUUCGGGAUAAGCCUCGGAAACGGGGUCUAAUACCGGAUAUGACCACUUCAUGCAUGUGAUGGUGGUGGAAAGUUUUUCGGUGGGGGAUGUGCUCGCGGCCUAUCAGCUUGUUGGUGGGGUAAUGGCCUACCAAGGCUUCGACGGGUAGCCGGCCUGAGAGGGUGACCGGCCACACUGGGACUGAGACACGGCCCAGACUCCUACGGGAGGCAGCAGUGGGGAAUAUUGGACAAUGGGCGGAAGCCUGAUCCAGCAACGCCGCGUGAGGGAUGACGGCCUUCGGGUUGUAAACCUCUUUCAGUGGGGACGAAGCGCAAGUGACGGUACCUACAGAAGAAGCACCGGCCAACUACGUGCCAGCAGCCGCGGUAAUACGUAGGGUGCGAGCGUUGUCCGGAAUUAUUGGGCGUAAAGGGCUCGUAGGCGGUUUGUCGCGUCGGGAGUGAAAACACUGGGCUUAACUCAGUGCUUGCUUCCGAUACGGGCAGACUAGAGGUAUUCAGGGGAGAACGGAAUUCCUGGUGUAGCGGUGAAAUGCGCAGAUAUCAGGAGGAACACCGGUGGCGAAGGCGGUUCUCUGGGAAUUACCUGACGCUGAGGAGCGAAAGUGUGGGGAGCGAACAGGAUUAGAUACCCUGGUAGUCCACACCGUAAACGUUGGGCGCUAGGUGUGGGGUCCAUUCCAC